CCUACGGGUGGCAGCAGUGGGGAAUAUUGCACAAUGGACGAAAGCCUGAUGCAGCAACGCCGCGUGAGCGAUGAAGGCCUUCUGGUCGUAAAGCUCUGUCCUCAAGGAAGAUAAUGACGGUACUUGAGGAUGCAUCCCCGGCUAACUACGUGCCAGCAGCCGCGGUACUACGUAGGGGGCUAGCGUUAUCCGGAAUUACUGGGCGAAAGGGGUGCGUAGGUGGUUUCUUAAGUCAGAGGUGAAAGGCUACGGCUCAACCGUAGUAAGCCGUUGAAACUGGGACACUGGAGUGCAGGAGAGGAGAGUGGAAUUCCUAGUGUAGCGGUGAAAUGCGUAGAUAUUAGGAGGAACACCAGUUGCGAAGGUGGCUCGCUGGACUGUAACUGACACUGAGGCACGAAAGCGUGGGGAGCAAACAGGAUUAGAUACCCGGGUAGUC
rnacentral:rRNA from 1 species